rnacentral:piRNA from 1 species
UGAAAGAUGACAUGUCUCCCUAGA